rnacentral:rRNA from 1 species
GCUGCAGGAAUUCCCAAUACUAUCGGUACGGGUUGUGGGAGCAAGAUCCCGGAGAUGGAUUCUGAGACAUGAAUCCAGGCCCUACGGGGCGCAGCAGGCGCGCAAACUUUACAAUGCGAGCAAUCGUGAUAAGGAAACCCUGAGUGCCUGUCGAUGCAGGCUGUUCAUAUAUCUAAAUCAUAUGUGAAGAAAGGGCAGGGCAAGACCGGUGCCAGCCGCCGCGGUAAUACCGGCUGCUCGAGUGAUGGCCACUAUUACUGGGUUUAAAGCGUCCGUAGCUUGACUGUUAGGUCUCUUGGGAAAUCUUCGCGCUCAACGUGAAGGCGUCUAAGAGAUACCGGCAGUCUUGGAACUGGGAGAGGUAAACCGUACUUCGGGGGUAGGAGUGAAAUCUUGUAAUCCUCGAGGGACGACCUAUGGCGAAGGCAGUUUACCAGAACAGCUUCGACAGUGAGGGACGAAAGCUGGGGGAGCAAACGGGAUUAGAUACCCCGGUAGUCCCAGCCGUAAACUAUGUGCGUUAGGGAGUA